GACGAACGCUGGCGGCGUGCUUAACACAUGCAAGUCGAACGGAAAGGCCCUGCUUGCAGGGUACUCGAGUGGCGAACGGGUGAGUAACACGUGGGUGAUCUGCCCUGCACUUCGGGAUAAGCCUGGGAAACUGGGUCUAAUACCGGAUAGGAGCCAUUUUUAGUGUGAUGGUUGGAAAGUUUUUUCGGUGUAGGAUGAGCUCGCGGCCUAUCAGCUUGUUGGUGUGGUAAUGGCCUACCAAGGCGGCGACGGGUAGCCGGCCUGAGAGGGUGGACGGCCACCUUGGGACUGAGGGGCGGCCCAGGCUCCGACGGGAGGCAGCAGGGGGGAAGAUUGCACGAUGGGCGCCAGCCGGGUGCAGCGGCGCCGCGGGGGGGAUGACGGCCUUCGGGUUGUAAACUCCUUUCGCAAGGGACGAAGCUUUUUGUGACGGUACCUAGAUAAGAAGCACCGGCUAACUACGUG
rnacentral:rRNA from 1 species